UACGUAGGGUGCGAGCGUUGUCCGGAAUUAUUGGGCGUAAAGAGCUCGUAGGCGGUUUGUCGCGUCGGCCGUGAAAUCUCCACGCUUAACGUGGAGCGUGCGGUCGAUACGGGCAGACUUGAGUUCGGCAGGGGAGACUGGAAUUCCUGGUGUAGCGGUGAAAUGCGCAGAUAUCAGGAGGAACACCGGUGGCGAAGGCGGGUCUCUGGGCCGAUACUGACGCUGAGGAGCGAAAGCAUGGGGAGCGAACAGG
rnacentral:rRNA from 1 species